rnacentral:rRNA from 1 species
AAUAAUUUAUUUGAUGGUUUCUUACUACAUGGAUAACUGUAGUAAUUCUAGAGCUAAUACAUGCGUAAAGUCCCGACUCUCGCGGGGAGGGAUGUAUUUAUUAGAUAAAAAACCAAUGCGGGCUCUGCCCGGUUUUGUGGUGAAUCAUAGUAACUUUUCGAAUCGCAUGGCUUCACGCCGGCGAUAGUUCAUUCAAAUUUCUGCUCUAUCAGCUUUCGACGGUAGUGUAGUGGACUACCGUGGCGUUAACGGGUAACGGAGAAUUAGGGUUCGAUUCCGGAGAGGGAGCCUGAGAAACGGCUACCACA